rnacentral:rRNA from 1 species
AUACGGAGGAUGCGAGCGUUACCCGGAUUUAUUGGGUUUAAAGGGUGCGUAGGCGGCUUGACAAGUCAGCGGUGAAAUGCAAGGGCCUAACCCUUGACGUGCCGUUGAAACUGCCGGGCUAGAAUGCGGAUGCUGUGGGAGGAAUGUGUAGUGUAGCGGUGAAAUGCAUAGAUAUUACACAGAACACCGAUUGCGAAGGCAUCUCACAAAUCCGCUAUUGACGCUGAGGCACGAAAGUGCGGGGAUCAAACAGGAUUAGAUACCCUGGUAGUCCGCACAGUAAACGAUGAUAACUCGCUGUCGGCGAUAGACAGUCGGUGGCCAAGCGAAAGCGAUAAGUUAUCCACCUGGGGAGUACGACCGCAAGGUUGAAACUCAAAUGAAUUGACGGGG